AGUGAACGCUGGCGGUAGGCCUAACACAUGCAAGUCGAACGGCAGCACAGUAAGAGCUUGCUCUUACGGGUGGCGAGUGGCGGACGGGUGAGGAAUACAUCGGAAUCUACUUUUUCGUGGGGGAUAACGUAGGGAAACUUACGCUAAUACCGCAUACGACCUACGGGUGAAAGCAGGGGAUCUUCGGACCUUGCGCGAGUGAAUGUGCCGAUGUCGGAUUAGCUAGUUGGCGGGGUAAAGGCCCACCAAGGCGACGAUCCGUAGCUGGUCUGAGAGGAGGUUCAGCCACACUGGAACUGAGACACGGUCCAGACUCCUACGGGAGGCAGCAGUGGGGAAUAUUGGACAAAGGGCGCAAGCCUGAUCCAGCCAUACCGCGUGGGUGAAGAAGGCCUUCGGGUUGUAAAGCCCUUUUGUUGGGAAAGAAAAGCAGCAGGUUAAUACCCCGCUGUUCUGACGGUACCCAAAGAAUAAGCACCGGCUAACUUCGUG
rnacentral:rRNA from 1 species